AUUGAACGCUGGCGGCAUGCUUUACACAUGCAAGUCGAACGGUAACAGGCCGCAAGGUGCUGACGAGUGGCGAACGGGUGAGUAAUGCAUCGGAACGUGCCCAGUCGUGGGGGAUAACGCAGCGAAAGCUGUGCUAAUACCGCAUACGAUCUAUGGAUGAAAGCGGGGGACCGUAAGGCCUCGCGCGAUUGGAGCGGCCGAUGGCAGAUUAGGUAGUUGGUGGGGUAAAGGCCUACCAAGCCGACGAGCUGUAGCUGGUCUGAGAUGACGACCAGCCACACUGGGACUGAGACACGGCCCAGACUCCUACGGGAGGCAGCAGUGGGGAAUUUUGGACAAUGGGCGCAAGCCUGAUCCAGCAAUGCCGCGUGCAGGAAGAAGGCCUUCGGGUUGUAAACUGCUUUUGUACGGAACGAAACGGUCCGGGUUAAUACCCUGGGCUAAUGACGGUACCGUAAGAAUAAGCACCGGCUAACUACGUGCCAGCCGCCGCGGUAAAAC
rnacentral:rRNA from 1 species